ensembl:lncRNA
GGGGGGGGUUUGUUAUUGUUUCUUUUUUGUAGUCAUUCCCUCAUCUUUUUUUUUCUGCGGAGGAAUUGCCUUUACCAACCUCUGGACGACAUAUCUGGAAAGUGACUGAGUGGAAUAUGGAAGCAAAAGGACAAGAAAGACAGAAAAGAGUAAGAAAUAAUUAAGUUUACUUUUUAAAAGCUCCCCCUUCAACUGUUCUUUUUUAUUUUUCUGUUUUUUUCCUCUUCCAAACAUUGCACCUCUGCGUUUCUGCAUUUCCUUCUUUCAGUUCUUUUUCCCUUCUUUUUUGUUUUCCCAUUUCCUUUUACUUUACCUUCCUGUCUUUCAUUUUCCUGCCUUUUCCUUUCUACCUUCCAAAUCCUUCCUUCAUUCUUCUCUAUUUCAUUUUACUCUUUACGUUAUUUUCCCUCAAUUCCUUGCGCACUGCCUCUCUUUACUCCCGCUCUUUCGCUCUCCCAACCCCUCCCUCUCCCUGUCCCUCUUCCCGAUUUGUCCUUCAGCUCUGUCAGCACUCACUAUCUCUCUCCAUCUCCUUCUCUGGUAGUCUGAUCAGCUGUCUUCCUUCUAACUUUACAUGGCCUGGUGUGGUGCGCAAGGACGGGCAGCUGCCGGCUGACGCAUUUCACUGCCCAGUCAUCACUUCAAAAUCGAAUCCUCUUACACAAACCUCUAUGGUUUUCUUUUAUGGCCACUAUUUUUACUCUCAAUUCUACAUGCAUGUCUUUUUUUUUAUUCUUGGUCUGCCUGUUUUUCCCCUCCUCCUUUUGCAUCCAGCAAUGAGAGAGAGAGAGAGAUAGUCACAAGUCCCAUGACCCCCUUCUUCUUUUCUCUCCUCUCCUUUCACUCCUUCUUUCCUUCUCCUCCUCCUCCUCCUCCUCCUCCCCUUUUCCUCUCCGCAUCCUUAAACUCUCCAUCGCUGAUUCAGCUCCCAGGGAGGCGAGACUCCGCCUGCAGCGACUGCUUCACUCCGCAUGGGCCACCAUCCCCAUCUGGAUCACCUUUACUACGUCUACCAGAGGAGGAGUGUAAUUGGGAGCAGUGUGCUGGAGUGCAGAGUGUCAGGGAGUCAGCAAGCCAGCCUGCCACAGCCGGUGAUACAGGACGAUAGAAGAGGAAGAUUAGUGGAGCAGCCUGCAAGGCAGCAAAAGCAGUGAGUCAGCUGUGGACUGUCCGCUGGUAAAAUGACCAUGUCAGUCAGGGAGUCCGUCAGUCAAGCAAGCAGAGCGCAGAGUCUGGCCUCUCUUCCCUCCUGUAAGUACACAUACAUCUAAAAGGAGGAGAGUGCGGCGUCGGGACAAGGCUACUUAGCAUUCCCCUGUCAUCACCUCACUGCUCAGAACUUCUGUUAUUGAAGAGGAAGGAAAAAAGAGCAAGGUAGGGGACAGAAAAGAGAAAGGAAGAAGGCAGUUGUGGUGGCACGAAGGCUACGUUAGAGCCCCAGGAAGGGGUUCAAGCCUAACGAGAAAGCCGAGGAACAAAUGAUCAAUAAACAAAGGAAGAGAAGAAACAAAAGAAGAGAAGAAUUGUAAAGAACAUGAAUUACAAAGAGAGAGAGCCAGUCGC